AAUAGGAUAGACUCAAUCUCACCAAGUUCCAUAGAACAGAGUCUAUGUAACAGGAACCAGAGGAAGAAGUUAUUUUUAUUUGAAUAUUUAAAAGCAAUAAAACUACACUGUAAUUUUUGUUGAUGGUACAAUGAUUUGCCAUCCUUAGAUAUAAACUACAUUAUUAAGUCUCUAAGAAUGGGCCAGAAGAAGUCGGUUACCUCCAUGAAGAGAUCUGGCUGGUGUUUGCAUGGAGAGGACUCUGGAGCUCAGAGAAAUGAAGUGAUUUGCCAAAGGAUAUGCCAACUGGACUUCUCUCCCAUCUCACCCCAUCACCAGCCUGUGAUACCCAGCUCUGUGGCAGACAGAGGGCUCAGAGGGCGUGGCCUGGUGAUAGAGCUGCC
rnacentral:lncRNA from 1 species